AAUCUUUCAAAAAAACUGAGAGCUCAAACAUUGAUUUGAGUGCUGUGAAUCUUCUAUUUGAAUAGGAAGAUCUGAUGC